CUCAGCUAGAAUCUGGCCACUCAGCUGGAUCUCAAAUGGUGAACCGCCAUGACUAGUCACAUGCUCAGAUGUCGAUACAACUUCAGGAGGCAGAUUUUAAGGAAACUAUAUGGUUGCUCAGGAAGCAAAUCCUAAAAGGCACCAUAGGGGAGAGGAGGCCUCUUUGCCUAUCUGAUAAUGUUGAGAGCUAGGGGUGUGGCUGCCUGGCACAGAGGCAGGGAAAGGGGUGGAGCAUUGUCUUGGAAUUCUCUCAGCUGAGUUGUUCAAUGUCUCCAUCCCAGUCUCCCUCCAGGGAUCAGGAAAAGUGGGCAGGUGGAUUGAUGUGCCUGUGUUAGCUCUUUCUAGAACAUUCUUUUUAAAAGCCCACUGUGUCGCCUGUUGUAGCCUUCCUCUGCCUCUGAGUUCAUUCUGCAGACGUUCUCCAGGGCGCUAUCAAUAGCCUGCUUGUUUUUCAGUUGUGUCUUCUGUGGGUUUAACCAGCUCAAGAAAGACUAGAGCAUCCCCAAAGUGAACCCUGCCACAGAAAGGCUAUGACGUAGACAAACAAGAACACCAGCAAGAGGGGCUGGUCGAUUGACUAGCGCACACCCUGUGUCCUGCCACUGUGGUCUCAGGCAAUGAUUUGGGAAAGCACCUCAGGGCCCAGCGGUUUGACAGGCUGCAUGAAGUUGUCUGUCCGAGUCCCCCAUCCAUCUAUCCUUGUGCUCUACCACUCAACCCCCUACCCAACCCACCCCCACGCACCAAAUAUCACAUGACCUACUAAAGCCAAAGGCAAGGGAAAGUCUCAAUAAACAGCAUGCUGUUGGGACACCCCGGGGACCAGUGACCCUUGUGGUGUGGUCAAGCCCCAGUGUGGAGGGUGUGGAAAUGUUAUUCACAUUUAUUUAAGGAUGACACAUACGUGAUCAUAUAUACCUGAUUACCCUGGAAACAUAAACCUAGAGAAGGGGUGCCCAGUGUCAACUUCCUGAGAUUUAGCGGCACUGCAAAGCACUGGCGUUUGAUGAGUGGCGUAGGAUGCAGCUCAGUCACAGUGCUUGCCCGACACAGGGGAGGCAUCAUUUGGGGGACCUGUCCCAUUGAUAAACAAAAGGCAGAAACUGAAUAUUCUCAGAAUGACUUCCCCGAGAACACAGAAUUUUAGUCGAUGUGGGUUUGGGUAGAGGGGUAUGUGUUCUAUGAUAAUGACUGAAGGGAGGCGGCAGAGCCCCUGGGGCCAAGGGAGCCUUCUAGAACAACUUCUGGGUUUUCAGCAUGAGGGAAGUGAUGAGAAAAUCUCCCCCCCCCCCGGGUGUGGCGUGGUGCUCUCUAUAGCCGAUCUGCUUUUCAGUCUAUUAAAGUGUUUGGUUUGCUGUGUUUGAUCCUGAUGUACACAGUGUGAUUGGUGGUGUGAGUUUAAGCUUUCUGGGUGGUUUGUUGCAUGGCAGGCACCUCUGCUCUCUGCAUGUCUGCAGCUUUACUGAGGUGCACACACACACACACACACACACACACACACACACACACACUGCCCGAGAGGAUUUGGAGUGGGAGGGCUGCCCUUCCUCACUGUGUCUUGUGAAUUCAUGUCUAUUUCUGCAGUCACUUCUGAAUCACUUGCACUGUUUGGGAAAUGCCAGGUUUACAAAAAAUAAGUUUAGAAUAAAACAAAAUCUGGCUUCAAA
rnacentral:lncRNA from 1 species